UGGACGCGUUUUCUCUCUUCGACAGUGACGCCACGAUUGACUGACAGUGCGACGGUGGUCUGGGUUUCUGUUUUUCACUCUUCAAUUGAUUUAUGGGUUUAUGGUUUUCGAAUUUUCGAUUUCGGAUUCUUCAAGCUUGGUAAGUUGCUGCCUCGCGACCUCGUUCUUCAAUCCUCAGCCAAGAGGCGGCUACAUCUCUCUCUCUCUCCCUCUCUCCUCGGCACGACCGCAUUGCAAAGCAGCGACAGCGCAAAGCAUAGACGUCCUGAAGCUUGGUUCGAUUUUUGGGUUUAAAUUCUGGGUUCGAUUUCGGAUUCUUCAAGGUUGGUUACUUUGUUCGGUUUCUGGGUUCGAUUUGCAUCUGUUUUGCCUUUUGCCAGUGUAUGAAUUCAUUAAAUUGAGAUGAGAGUGUGAGACAUUUUUAUAUCAAUAUAUGAGAUGAAAUUUGUAUAUGAGAAUUGAGAUGAA